UACGAAGGGGGCUAGCGUUGCUCGGAAUCACUGGGCGUAAAGCGCACGUAGGCGGCUUUUUAAGUCAGGGGUGAAAUCCUGGAGCUCAACUCCAGAACUGCCUUUGAUACUGAGAAGCUUGAGUCCGGGAGAGGUGAGUGGAACUGCGAGUGUAGAGGUGAAAUUCGUAGAUAUUCGCAAGAACACCGGUGGCGAAGGCGGAUCUCUGGGCCUGUUCUGACGCUGAGGCGCGAAAGCUAGGGGAGCGAACAGG
rnacentral:rRNA from 1 species